ACAACGUUUACCCCAUCAGACAAACUGAAAGUCAUCCAGCAGACUUUUGAAGAGAUCUCUCAGAGUGUCCUGGCGUCACUUCAGGAAGACUUCCUGUGGUCCAUGGAUGACUUAUUCCCUGUUUUCUUAUAUGUGGUGCUCCGGGCCAGGAUUAGGAAUUUAGGCUCUGAGGUACACCUCAUUGAGGAUCUAAUGGACCCAUAUCUUCAGCAUGGAGAACAGGGUAUAAUGUUCACUACUCUGAAGGCAUGUUACUACCAGAUCCAGCGUGAGAAGCUUAACUAGGCUGCCGAACAGCUUGACAACUGGCUUAUCUGUUCAGUGUUUCAGCACCAUCUGGUGUCUUCCUGGAGCAGCAAAAAGAACAGUGUUGAAAUUAGGACAUUGUAUUAUUAUGGUUGUUAUUUCUGAGCCUUGCUAGUGGUUGGAGCUCUGAGCCCAGAAUAAAAGACUGUAUGGUGGAAAGGGAGGGCGGAAAAGGAGGUAGAAAUCAGAUUAGACCAGUCCCUGGCCUGUGUUAGGUUUCCCAAGUGUCAUACAUCUGCUGUUGGAAAAACGAGGCUAUCCCUUCCUAUGGUAAAGAGUAUGCCAGCUCAUGAACUUGUAGGACAAAAUUCUCAGUGUGGCUUCUUACAUUAAAGAGGUUGAUGAAUGUUUUUGAGUUUCUGGUUUGCCCUCAGUCACCCCAGGCCCCUUUGCAAGGAACACUUUGUACUUGAAACUAUAGUAGCCACACUAUGCCUUCCAAAAUUCCUUGCAAUCAUGUGUGCACCAUGCUUCUUUGCUGAGGGGAGGGGAAAGAGGAACUUUUAAACUGCAAUUUUAACUUUUUCUAAGUUUUUCCACCAGGGCAUUUAUUCGUGAUGGCAAGGUUCUGUGCAGUUACUACUUCUACACCCUGACCCCAAACAUAGAGCACACCCAAAUAGGAGUCUGCUGCCUCCCGAUGAGAAAGAACAUAGGAAUUGUGUUCUUGGAUUCCUUACAGUGCUCCAGAGUGGAUACACUGGAAUUCAGACACUGACUCUGAGCUGCUGUGGAACCUCAUUCAUCCGCGUGCAAAUGCUGUGUUCCAGGAUCUGUGAAAGCCUGAAGGGCUUUUGCAUGCAGGCUGUUUUUAGAAUAGGACUGGAGACUGGGAAAUAUGGAAGCAAAGAACUGCAUCCAUCCUUGGCCUAGUAUUGUGGUUCUUCCCUGUACCUUGCACUGAACUCACAGAGGGGAAGGAAAAGGAAACUCACUUUGGCUUUCCCCAUCUCAAAAGUAUUGUGACACCUCAGCCUUUUAUUGUUUUGCUUUUCACCGUUUUUAAAUGUCCUGUUGUAAGUGGUUGGUUUACACUGUACAAACAACACUAGUAGCUAUUCUGGAUGACAUAGGUGCUCUUCCCCAUCUCAUCUCCUCCACUCCAGGCUGAGCGUUUGGAGUGUCCCCCUUCUGCUUCAUGGUAACAUCUGCAGAUGUUAAUCGAUUUUGAAAAAGGAUCAUGGUUUCUGCUCUACUUUAUAAUCAAGACAAGUGUUUAUUAAAAUACUGUUUUGGAAUGUUGGCUGUAAUGUAACAGCAAUUUUCAUAAUAAAAGAUUCAUAUUUAUGAA